ACCGGGAGGAAGGAACCGGAAACAGAAUGAAAGCGCGCUGCAACCGCCUGGCAGGGAGCGUGACCAACUGUGGUUCUGUACCUCAAUCCAGACGAUCCAGACUUAAUGAAAGCCAUCCAGUCUCCAACAGUCAUGGCAGUCUCACAGACAGACGAAGUGUUGUUCAGAAUCCAGCGGAACCGUCGAUCGAGGAUGAUUGUGGUGCCCAUGAACCGGCUCGCAUCUCGUCAGGGAAUUUCUCCGCACGAGCGGCCUUAAGAACUGCAGGAUCCUCGUCACAUUCCUGUUGCAGCGCACUCAGACAUAUCUGCUUGCUAUUCAGUAUGUGUAUAGCGUCCAAGACCACGUUCUCACCAUCUUCAUCCAGCCUCACUUGACCCUCUGAAGCACCAUCUGCAGGGGAAGAGAUGCAUGGAAAUGCAUGCAUCCUCAUCUGAAAAAAGAAACACAUCUCACCUGCAAGAGGUCACCAGUCCAGGAC